GAANUCCGAUUGCGAAGGCAGCUUGCUGGACUGUAACUGACGCUGAGGCACGAAAGCGUGGGGAUCAAACAGGAUUAGAUACCCUGGUAGNCCACGCCGUAAACGAUGAAUGCUAGCUGUUAGCGAUAUACUGUUAGCGGCACAGAGAAAUCGUUAAGCAUUCCACCUGGGGAGUACGCCGGCAACGGUGAAACUCAAAGGAAUUGACGGGGGCCCGCACAAGCGGAGGAACAUGUGGUUUAAUUCGAUGAUACGCGAGGAACCUUACCUGGGCUUAAAUUGCAGUGGAAUAACGUGGAAACAUGUUAGCCUUCGGGCCGCUGUGAAGGUGCUGCAUGGUUGUCGUCAGCUCGUGCCGUGAGGUGUCGGCUUAAGUGCCAUAACGAGCGCAACCCUCAUCGAUAGUUACUAACAGGUUAAGCUGAGGACUCUAUCGAGACUGCCGACGUAAGUCGUGAGGAAGGUGGGGAUGACGUCAAAUCAGCACGGCCCUUACGUCCAGGGCUACACACGUGUUACAAUGGGGGGUACAAAGGGCAGCUACCUGGCGACAGGAUGCUAAUCUCAAAAACCUCUCUCAGUUCGGAUUGGAGUCUGCAACCCGACUCCAUGAAGCUGGAUUCGCUAGUAAUCGCGCAUCAGCCACGGCACGGUGAAUACGUUCCCGGGCCUUGUACACACCGCCCGUCAAGCCAUGGGAGCCGGGGGGACCUGAAGUAUGCAACCGUAAGGAGCGUCCUAGGGUAAAACUGGUGACUGGGGCU
rnacentral:rRNA from 1 species